AACCAGCUCUUCAAGUGGUCGGGAUGAUUAUUGGGCUUAAAGUGUCCGUAGCCGGUUUAGUAAGUUCCUGGUAAAACCAAGUAGCUUAACUAUUUGUAUGAUAGGAAUACUGCUAUACUAGAGGGCGGGAGAGGUCUGAGGUACUAUAGGGGUAGGGGUGAAAUCUUUUAAUCCUUGUAGGACCACCAGUGGCGAAGGCGUCAGACUGGAACGUGCCUGACGGCGAGGGACGAAAGCCAGGGGAGCGAACCGGAUUAGAUACCCGGGUAGUCCUGGCCGUAAACGAUGCAUACUAGGUGAUGGCCCGGCCAUGAGCCGUGUCAGUGCCGUAGGGAAACCGUUAAGUGUGCCGCCUGGGAAGUACGGUCGCAAGGCUAAAACUUAAAGGGAUUGGCGGGGGAGCACCACAAGGGGUGAAGCCUGCGGUUC
rnacentral:rRNA from 1 species